CAGUUCCUACGGGGGGGCUGCAGUGGGGAAUAUUGCACAAUGGGCGGAAGCCUGAUGCAGCGACGCCGCGUGAGGGAUGACGGCCUUCGGGUUGUAAACCUCUUUCAGCAGGGAAGAAGCCACAAGUGACGGUACCUGCAGAAGAAGCGCCGGCUAACUACGUGCCAGCAGCCGCGGUAAUACGUAGGGCGCAAGCGUUGUCCGGAAUUAUUGGGCGUAAAGAGCUCGUAGGCGGUUUGUCGCGUCUGCUGUGAAAGCCCGGGGCUCAACCCCGGGUCUGCAGUGGGUACGGGCAGACUAGAGUGCAGUAGGGGAGACUGGAAUUCCUGGUGUAGCGGUGAACUUCUCCCAUAUCAGGAGGAACACCGAUGCCGAAGGCAGGUCUCUGGGCUGUUACUGACGCCUAAGAGCGAAUGAUUUUC
rnacentral:rRNA from 1 species